AUCACCAAAUUGAUGAUGGGGUAUUCUGUUGUUGCUGGGCCUAUCAAACCAGGGAAAAAAGAUUAAUUGUAGGUUUUAACUGUAUCUCAAAUGAAGGGGAUGCAAUAUUUCUUGGCUAAAAGCUGGUAAGUACAACAUGAC